AAACCACUUAUUGAUUAUUUCAGGCCUAAGAUAACUAUGAUUCAGCCCUCAAUAAUAGUUCACUCUGGGGCCGGAUAUUUUCCUGAUGAGAGAAACGCAUCAAAGCUGGAGGUGACCAGAUCGGCAGCGGUCGUGGGAUGGGAAACUCUGCUUCGACAGGAUAACGUAUUGGAUGCGGUGGAAGCUGCAGUCAGAGUUAUGGAGGACAAUGUCGAAUGCAAUGCAGGUUUCGGUUCAGUCCUCAAUUCUGCGGGGGACGUGGAAAUGGACGCUAUGAUAAUACGUGGCAAAGAUUUAUCGACUGGUGGGGUUGGUGGACUUUGCCAAAUUUCGAACCCCAUCUCGGUAGCUCGGCGUGUCUUGGAAAAGACAAAGCACUGCAUGCUGGCUGGGCAAGGUGCGUUGGAGUUUGCCGUUCGAGAAGGAUUUCCUAUUGUGUCGAAUGAAUCCUUGGUCUCACCCAGGGCGAAAAUUAUGCUGGAAGGAGUUCUUUCUAAAAAUAUCGCACCAUCUACUGAAACGGGGAGCUGUAUUACCAAGAGCAGUGUGGAAGAAAAAAGUCUCGGAACAGUUGGUGCCGUGGCGAUCAACUGUCGUGGCGAGAUUGCAGCUGCGACAUCAACGGGUGGGAUUUGCGCCAAGAUGCCGGGUCGCAUAGGCGACACCCCAAUCCCAGGCGGAGGAACUUUCUGCGAUGACCAAAAUUGCGGAAUUAGUGCAACCGGACUGGGUGAAAGUAUAAUGAGGGUCUGUCUUUCCAGUAGAAUUGCAAAUUUUAUCUCAAAUGGAAUGGACCCCUCAACGGCUUGUCUCACUGCCUUGAAUAGCAUGACGGAGAGAGUGGGAGGAGAUGGGGGUGCCAUCGUGAUAACGAAAAGUGGAGUAUUGGCCCAUGCCCACAAUUCGAGGAAAAUGACCUGGGCCUCUGUCUCCGGGGAUGGCGAAUUGCGCAGUGGUGUUAAGGCUGGGGAAGAAUUUGUAACGCAUGUUGUUGUUUCUAAAUAGAAAAUGUCUAUUAGAAAUGCUGCAUGUAUGUAUGUGUACGAGAUUAAUUAUUACUUGUGAAUGUGAUUUUGUAUGAAAUUUACAUGUACGCUUUGUAUUGAAUCACCUCUGCUGUCUCUGUCAUUUGGGGAAGGAAAUAAGUUUUCUGUUGUUGGAACUUCUAGUUGAUAUUUUGACAUUGUUAAUGCUGCACCUGCACAGUGUACAGAAUCCACCCGUAUUAAUAAAUAAAACUAAUUAAAUUACCAAAUCAUUGUGGGCGGAUAAAAGGUCUGUUGUUUGUCAAGUUAUCCAUCGUUAAUUAUCUUAAUGGACCCUUGGUGUUCAUCUGGGCCAUUGACAUCAGAAAAAGUGGACGACCUUGGACAACAAAAACAGGGCAGUCUUCUUAGUAGUAGUGACGAUAACAGCACUGCUACAUUCCAGGACAAUUUCAUUAUUAAAUCAGACCUAACCCAACUUGAUCCGGAGGAGGAUUGUCCAGACCGACCAGCAGCAUUCGUCAAACUUCCAGACUCUGAGGAAUAUCUCGCAUCCCUGGAAAAGCGCCUCUCAAAAAUUCAACAGCAGCCCAACAUCCUCCGUUCUCUGCAAGAAAGUAAGGAAGCGGCCCUACGAAGCCUUCUUCUGGACACCUCACCCCCUUGCCCUGAGACAGAUCUAGAUCAAGACGAAGAGCUGAAAAAGGCGAAUCUUCUGUUUCAAAAACUAGCCCCCGAGAAGCAGGCUUUGUCCACCCAGGAACUUGUACACCUCUUGGACGCGGACCAUUUGCAGGUGGGCGUGGCAGCUGCAUCAAUCAGUACCUACGAAGAAGAAAACGAGGUCGAGGUGACAACAACGUCCACGUCGUCAAAUCAAAAACAACAAGAAUGA